rnacentral:rRNA from 1 species
UACAGAGGUCCCAAGCGUUGUUCGGAUUCACUGGGCGUAAAGGGUGCGUAGGUGGCCAGGUAAGUUUGGUGUGAAAGCUCGGAGCUUAACUUCGAAAUGGCAUUGAAUACUACUUGGCUGGAGGAUCGGAGGGGAGACUGGAAUUCUCGGUGUAGCAGUGAAAUGCGUAGAUAUCGAGAGGAACACCAGUGGCGAAGGCGAGUCUCUGGACGAAUCCUGACACUGAGGCACGAAAGCUAGGGGAGCAAACAGGAUUAGAAACCCCCGUAGUCC